GGAGUUCGUUAGACUAUCGCUUGGCUCGCCAAGAGGAAAGUCCGGACAGCAAAGGGUAUGGUAGUCGCUAACGGCGACCGUUCGCAAGAAUAGGGAAAGUGCCACAGAAACUUAAACCGCCAUGAAUUUUUGAUUUAUGGUAAGGGUGAAAAGAGUGCGGUAAGAGCGCACGGUGAGUUAUGGCGACAUAAUUCAGGGGUAAACCCUGCCUGCUGCAAGGAGAGUCAUACAAAGCGCGGCCCGCGUUUGGCUCGUUCACCGCUGGAGCCACCGAGCAAUCGGCGGCCUAGAUAGAUGAUAGCCCACGACAAAAUCCGGCUUACAGACGAACUCAGGCA
rnacentral:RNase_P_RNA from 1 species